AAAAACUUGGCUAUUUGGCCCACGUUUGAAGAGCCCAUCAUAUGAGUGAGUUUUGCCCCACUUUGGAAGAGCGCGUCAUAUGAGUCAAAUAAUCUGAGAGUUGGGAUUCGGGGGAAAAAAGGAAGGAAAGCAAUCGAAGGGGGAGGCGGCGUCGGAGGUGGAGACUAGAAGGAAGAGAGAGCAAUGAAAUCGCCGAGAUGGGGAUAUGUUAGAAUAAUAUCAGGGACUAUUUUUGGAGGCAUUCUUGGUUUCUAUCUUAUGCAUCGCGCUGAACUCAAGUACAAGGAAAUGUGGAACGAGAGAUUGAAGAAGUACGAGGAGGAGCUCAAAAUGAAGCAAAGUAUGGAGACGCAUGCUCCCACUGAGUUGUCAGGAGACCCUCUUACGAGAUAGAAGUGACAGGUGCAGAUGGAAUUCUGUGUUAAUUCUUCAAAGGCGUGAUCCGGGUCUCAACCUCAACUGCUGUUUCAUCUGUCCAAAGAGGUACACAAGGAAAAAGCAGAGAUAUGGUUGCUUUUAUCAUGUGAAGAGAUGAUCAUAGAGAAAAAAAAACCACAUGAAUGUCGUUUUGUGAAUUAUAUUAUUUAUAAGGCAGAUCUUUGGAGAGGAAAAUACUGUCACCUUAUUUCACAGCUCCACCCCAAUUUCCCAAGUCAACCUUUCCCACUGCAGCUCCUCUUUUUUUGCCCGUGGAUUGGCUUAAAUUUAAGUGAUAAGUGAAGUUUUGGCUUUUUUGCUUUUGGUAAAUAUUGAUUCAAUUUUUUUAUGACUUUCCUCCCUGAUUGGAAAUAGGGAAAAUUAGACACAACGUGCACAACCAUUGAGGGUAUCAGAGAAGAAGAAAAGCAACACGGUUGAAAAAAAAAAGUGGCCGAAAUGCCUUUUUUGAUAAUUGGAUUAUUUUAGGUGAACAGUGUUGAUCCAAUAGAAAUUGUCCAUUUUUUUCUUUUUUUACUUUACUUUCUGUUGACAUGGGCCUUAGAUAAGUUUCUAUGGCUAGACUGGACCGUUCUUUUUCAGCAGACGGGCAUUUUAAACAAGUACUC